GGUUCUAUAGCUCAGUUGGGAGAGCAUUCGACUGAAGUUUCCAGUCUUUUCGCUUACUGCGAGUUCGAAAGGUCCUUGGUUCGACCCCGAGUGGAACCA